CCAAAUUCUAAUAUUUAAAUAUAUUUUUAUAUUUAUAAAGGGUGGGUUUAGGGUGGAGGUUGGUGUUGUGUUUCUCAAAUACAGAGGGUUGCAGAACCACCUCAGCCUCUGCAAGUCUUUCGCUUAACAUUUGCAGGGUUACCACGAUAAGAGUAAAAAGCCCGGUUCACACCGCAAGCGCUGUUCCUGUGGCUGGCAACUGUGGUCGAUACUGGGUGUUCCCACUACUACCGUCCAUCUGAAUAGAAACGGGGUGAAGUUCCGAGCUCUUUUUAAUGAAAUAUGAUAGAGAUAUGAAGUUUGGAUAAUUUUCUACGGCACACCUGACUGGGCUAUAGGGUAUAUGACAACUACCAUAAUCUGCCAUAUGGAAAUGUCGCCCUGGUUCAGUCUGUGGUUAGAGCAAGAGUCAACGUCAUUUCUGGUGAGCAUUCAGCCAAUCAGCAGCGAGGUGCUCUAUUAUCGUUGCAGACCUCUCUCUGGCUGUCAUUUAAACUCCAGCCAUCUUCAUGACUACAGCCAGGUAGGGCAAAACUGGAUAGUCACACACCUAUUAAAAUAUUUAAGGAGUUUUAUAAGUAUUAUAAUUUUGUCAUUCCGUAAUGUAAAUAGAAACAAAUUCUUUUUCACUUUUUUGAAUGUUUGGGCUAACUAUGGAAACUCACGUGAUAUGAUGCUAUAAUGUUUUCUGGAUAGUGUGCUUAUUUACCAUGUUUCUGAGAUGGCAGUUUUUUUUUUUUUUUUACUUUUCCACUAAAAAAUACUGGGUUAAUAUUGGACAGAGCACAUGCUGGGUUAUUUUGACCCAGAUGGUUGGGGUAAAUGUUUUAACUGUUUAAGACAAUCAACUAUUGUUUAAAAAUUAAUAUUUUGCUGGCUAAAAAUGGCUAAAAAGUCAUUUGUAUUCAUGUCCGGAUAUAGUGUUUUUCGUUUUGAUGACAUUUUUGGAUGUACAUGUGGGGGAGUGGAGUUAAUUUGUUGAUAUGAGUGCAAUAAUUCCAAAUCAAUGCUCAAAAGAUAAAAUAAAAUCUCUGUUGUUUUUGCUGCUAGUUCACCCAGAGGCUCCCGCCGGGGUCUGCAGUCACGCGGGUGUCCAUCAGUGUCCAUCUGUCUGUCUGCUGUGUGGAAGACCAUGACUUCUGUCUUUCCCUGUGGGGGUAUGUUUUUUUUUUUCAUUGAUAGAACAUGGUAUUUAUUUAUUAACACGAGUUUGUUUUUUAAUUAAGAUAAUAGCAACACCGUGUUUAACCUGUCAGUUUCAACUUUUCUUAAAUUUGCAGUCACAGAAGUGGACGGUGACUCUGUGGAUUUGCUUCUCUCUGUUGAGGAGACCCGAGAACCAGUCCAGAGUUCAGUGUGUCCGAUCAGUGAGGAUGAUGAGGAUGAUGAUGCCUGAUGAAGAGGAGCAGCAUGAAGGGUCAACAGAUAAAACAACGAACUUGAAAUUCACUUUUUUCUUGACUUUGCAUGAAAUACUUUCUGUGAUCACUUACUAAAAGGAUGAUUACAAAAAAAAAGAUUUAAUUGUUUUUCAACAUUUCCAUGCUUUUAAAGUUUUGGUCUUUAGAUCAGGUUUCCUCAAAGCGUUAGCUGAUGUCCUCUUUCACGAUGUCCAGGAUGCCUUGAAAUUGAUAUUGACUCAUACGGGAGUAUGAAUAAAAUUUGUCUUUAAAAAUGGCAACUCUCUAAUCAGAGUGACAGAUUCUCCCAACUGAAGUCGUGCAUCUUUGGAAACUGAACCGCGCAACACUGCGCAGGGCCCAAGCCUUUAUGGGGCCCCAAGCAGAAUUUUAUUUGGGGACCGACUGAUAAUGCUUGAUUAUACCCAUUAUCAAUUUUAUUGGUUGUGUUUCUUCCAUUGUGUGUUUAUUAACAUGUUUUUACCCUUCUACCAUUUACUGGUAACAGUAACAAACCAAUAAGAGUGGCUAGGUGUUCAUUUGCACUUUAACAUUCAAAGUGAAUGAACAGCGCUCUCUUCCACCCUCAAUACCCAUGGCUGAAGUGCCCUUGAGCAAGGCACUGAACCCCCAGUUGCUCCCCGAGCACUGGAUAUAUAGCUGCCCACUGCUCCGGGUGUGUGUUUACGGUGUGUGUGUGUGUGUGUUCACUGCUGUGUGUGUGCAGUUGGAUGGGUUAAAUGCAGAGCACCAAUUCCGGGUAUGGGUUGCCAUACUUGGCAAAUGUCACGACUUUCACUUUCACUACGUCGACUGUAAGACUGGUUGCAGCCAGUCCCUGUUGUUCAGUGCUGAUUGUUCAUUCUGAUCAAAUGACGCAGACACAACAUCUGCCACCAAGCUCAGGACAGCUUUCUUAAAAUCUGACAAAUUACAAACUCUGAUUUACAUGUACAUGUUUAUGCAUUUGGCAGAAGUUUUUAACCAAAGCAUCUUACACUGCAUUCAAGGUACACAUUUAAAUUCAGAUUUCUGUUCUUGCUUCCCCUUACUGUGGUGUUGAUAGGCAUGCUCUACCGUUUGAGCAGAAAGAAUGACAUAUACACAUGAGCAGGCCUGGCUUCCUGUGCAGCAAACAGUAUCAUUCUGAAACCACAUUAGUUUUAACUGUAAGUGAUGUGAGAAAAUCUGGAUAAUGUAAUCAGUUUCCAAAAGAUAAGUACUUAUAAAUCAAUUAUAUUACAUUUGAAAAUACUUGUAAUCAGACUACGGUUACUUUUUAAUUGACAUAUUACACUGACACAAUUGCAAUAAAUUAUUCAUUAAAUUAAAUUUGAACAAAAUGAAAACUAAAAGAAUUUCAAAUCACAUGAACCAAUAUUUUAUUCACAACAGAACAUAGAUAACAUAACAAAUGUUUAAACUAAGAAAUUUUAAAAUUUUAUGCACAAAAUGAUGAAAUAUGAUGCCUGUUAUGAUAUUGUUUAAUGAUUAUAAUAAAUAUAUUCCUAUGAAUAUAUUACUUUACAUGAUCAACAUUAUAGUGUGGUUCAUCACAGAUGGGUGUGAUCCCAACUGGUAUGGAGUUUCUUUUGUGUCUUUUUUAUUCAAUCAAAAAUUCUGUGUUUGAGAGUAAAACUAGUUAUUUUGUAAAGAUCACAAAAUAAAUAAACAAACAAAUAAAUAAACAAACAAACAAACCUCUGCAAUUCAUAAAAUUAUUUGCAGUGCAGAUAUUUUAAAAAUGACAUUUUUUCUUUGUGCACUUCAAAAAUUUUAAUCACAAAACCACAAAAGGUUAUUUCCGCUUCCACUUGCAUACUGUAUACCCUGGCCGCCCACAGUCAGCGUUCGGAGAUUGACUGCCUGUGCUGUCUAUUCGUUUGGAUUUAUUGUUUUAAAUGAUUACGUUUUAGGGAGGUUUAACGUGACUGAAAUGCCAAAUAGUUCUCUCUUAUUGAUCUGGCUGUUAAAACAGUGUGCUAAAACAUAAUAAAUACUUACUUUCUGUCCCAAACAGUCGCUGUGUGUGAUGCUGAGUUAAAGUUGGAGGCAACUGAUGAAGAAAAUGUAACCAUAUCCUUCAAAACUGCUGAACUGGAAUGAGCCAAUCGAGUCAGAAAAACUUUUAAAGCAGAAUUUGAGGAAAAAGCACAUAUGAUUGUGCAGUACUGAGAGUUGUCCUGUCAUGGAAACUCCGGCAGUCUUAUUGCACUUUGAAGAAAGAACCUUAACUCUUCAGCGUGUCAGCUCCAAUAACUCAGGCCUCUAUAAAGCAAAAAUCAUCACAGGAAAGGUGGUGUGUGGGAUAAAAGCUAUACUUGUUAUCAAAAGUGAGUGUCUUAAUAUAAUAGGUCUGUUUUGCCUGUAGUGUUCCACAUCAGGAAUAUAAGAAAAUAAACUGUAAAGUUUUUCGUUAAAAAGUUGUCUAAAUUAAGUUAAUGCUAUUCUUACUUGUGCCAGAAUGAUUUGUAACAUUUUCAUAAGAAAUUAUUUCAUUUACACAGUAGCAUGAUUUAAAACUGCAGAGACUGUGAAUCCAUACAGGCAAAUUAUUAUUGUUGUUGUUGUUGUUGUUGUUGUUGUUGUUGUUUAAAGCCACAGUUGAAAAGAAUUAUAAGUGAUAACAUUUAGGUGAUCUUACUGAUGUAAGGAUUUGCAUGUGAUGCAUUGUUUGAUCCACAGCAUGAAAUCCUCAAGAUUUAUGUAACAAUUUGGAAAAGAAACUAUUGCUUGCAUAACUUUUUGGAAACUUUGUGUAAAAACCUGUGCAAACACACAGAUCCUUCAUAGACAUUGAUUCGAAAAGAGUAAAAGCUUGUAUGAUUAUUUUUGAUAUGGCAGACGGUAGCAGUUGCUGAAUUAGGAUUGGUCAGUUAGGCCUGUCAAGAUAUAUAUAUAUAUAUAUAUA
ensembl:lncRNA